rnacentral:rRNA from 1 species
CGGACGGGUGAGUAAUGUCUGGGAAACUGCCUGAUGGAGGGGGAUAACUACUGGAAACGGUAGCUAAUGCCGCAUAACGUCGCAAGACCAAAGAGGGGGACCUUCGGGCCUCUUGCCAUCGGAUGUGCCCAGAUGGGAUUAGCUAGUAGGUGGGGUAACGGCUCACCUAGGCGACGAUCCCUAGCUGGUCUGAGAGGAUGACCAGCCACACUGGAACUGAGACACGGUCCAG